GUGGGGAAUAUUGGACAAUGGGCGAAAGCCUGAUCCAGCAAUGCCGCGUGAGUGAUGAAGGCCUUAGGGUUGUAAAGCUCUUUUACCCGGGAAGAUAAUGACUGUACCGGGAGAAUAAGCCCCGGCUAACUCCGUGCCAGCAGCCGCGGUAAUACGGAGGGGGCUAGCGUUGUUCGGAAUUACUGGGCGUAAAGCGCACGUAGGCGGUUUUGUAAGUUAGAGGUGAAAGCCUGGGGCUCAACCCCAGAAUUGCCUUUAAGACUGCAUCACUUGAACGUCGGAGAGGUGAGUGAAAUUCCGAGUGUAGAGGUGAAAUUCGUAGAUAUUCGGAAGAACACCAGUGGCGAAGGCGGCUCACUGGACGACUGUUGACGCUGAGGUGCGAAAGCGUGGGGAGCAAACAGGAUUAGAAACCCCUGUAGUCC
rnacentral:rRNA from 1 species